GACGAACGCUGGCGGCGUGCUUAACACAUGCAAGUCGAACGGAAAGGCCCCUUUGGGGGUCCUCGAGUGGCGAACGGGGGAGUAACACGUGAGUAACCUGCCCUUGCCUUCGGGAUAACUUCAGGAAACUGGGGCUAAUACCGGAUAGGAAUCCUUGCUGCAUGGUGGGGGUUGGAAAGCUUCGGCGGUGUUGGAUGGACUCGCGGCUUAUCAGCUUGUUGGUGGGGUAGUGGCUUACCAAGGCUUUGACGGGUAGCCGGCCUGAGAGGGCGACCGGCCACAUUGGGACUGAGAUACGGCCCAGACUCCUACGGGAGGCAGCAGUGGGGAAUAUUGCACAAUGGGCGGAAGCCUGAUGCAGCAACGCCGCGUGCGGGAUGACGGCCUUCGGGUUGUAAACCGCUUUCAGCAGGGGCGAAGCUUGUGGUGACGGUACCUGCAGAAGAAGCACCGGCUAACUACGUG
rnacentral:rRNA from 1 species